AGAUUGAACGCUGGCGGCAGGCCUAACACAUGCAAGUCGAGCGGCAGCACGGGUACUUGUACCUGGUGGCGAGCGGCGGACGGGUGAGUAAUGCCUAGGAAUCUGCCUGGUAGUGGGGGAUAACGCUCGGAAACGGACGCUAAUACCGCAUACGUCCUACGGGAGAAAGCAGGGGACCUUCGGGCCUUGCGCUAUCAGAUGAGCCUAGGUCGGAUUAGCUAGUUGGUGAGGUAAUGGCUCACCAAGGCGACGAUCCGUAACUGGUCUGAGAGGAUGAUCAGUCACACUGGAACUGAGACACGGUCCAGACCUCCGUACGGGAGGCAGUCAGGUGGGGAAAUAGUUGGACAAGUGGGAGAAAGCCUGAUCCAGCCAUCGCCGCGUGUGUAGAAGUAAGGUCUUACGGAGUUAGUAAA
rnacentral:rRNA from 1 species